rnacentral:rRNA from 1 species
AGAAUUGAUCUGGUCAGGACGAACGCUGGCGGCGUGCCUAACACAUGCAAGUCGAGCGAGGAGAUCCUCGGGAUGAUCCUAGCGGCGGACGGGUGAGUAACACGUGGGCAACCUGCCUCAUAGAGAGGAAUAGCCUUCCGAAAGGGAGAUUAAUACCUCAUAACAUUGCAGUUUCGCAUGGAACAGCAAUUAAAGGAGUAAUCCGCUAUGAGAUGGGCCCGCGGCGCAUUAGCUAGUUGGUGAGGUAAUGGCUCACCAAGGCGACGAUGCGUAGCCGACCUGAGAGGGUGAUCGGCCACAUUGGGACUGAGACACGGCCCAGACUCCUACGGGAGGCAGCAGUGGGGAAUAUUGCACAAUGGGGGAAACCCUGAUGCAGCCAACGCCGCGUGAGUGAUGACGGCCUUCGGGUUGUAAAGCUCUGUCUUCAGGGACGAUAAUGACGGUACCUGAGGAGGAAGCCACGGCUAACUACGUGCCAGCAGCUGC